rnacentral:lncRNA from 1 species
UUUAAGAUUCUUUUUAUUAAUCUCUUAAAAAAGGUAAUAAAUAAAAGUAAAAAAAAUCUUAAAAAUUAAUAUUAUAUUACAAAUCGUGAAAGCCUCGCGGGCCGCACAAAAUGGCUUGGCGGGCCACCUUUUGGACAGCCCUGGUUUAGAAGCACGGAUAUAACUGACUCUCUUAUUAAUAAGUUGAUGGAUGAAAUAAAGAAGAAGAAAAGCGGAAAAUUGGACGAAAACCCAGCGGGAGAUAGCCCCACCAAUCAAGUGACAGAUAGUGAGGGACCAAGAAGAUACACAGUGAUACCAAAGACACUGAAAGAUUUUAAACAGUUAAGAGAGAAAUUAAGAAGAAUAAGGCAAAGCCAGUGUAUAAAAGACCGCCCACUAUAUUUAACUUACUAUGGAAUGUCAAAGAUCCGCACAAACAGGACGAGAGAACUGGAGUGUACACCAGUGUUUCUCAACACAAUUGAUACUGCGGACCAAUAAAAAUUUUAAGCUUGUAUUUCAGACCACAGAAAAAGUUGC